rnacentral:rRNA from 1 species
AAAUUGAAGAGUUUGAUCAUGGCUCAGAUUGAACGCUGGCGGUAGGCCUAACACAUGCAAGUCGAACGGU